rnacentral:rRNA from 1 species
UAAGCGGAGGAGAAGAAACUAACCAGGAUUUCCCUAGUAAUGGCGAACGAACCGGAAAGAGCCCAGCUUGAAAAUUCCGCCGCCUUCGGCGGCGGAACUUGUAGUCUGGAGACGCAUCCUCUGCGACGCACCGGGCCCAAGUUCCCUGGAAAGGGACGUCCGAGAGGGUGACAGCCCCGUCGAGCCCGGGCCGUGUUGCUCCACGAGGUGCGCUCGCCGAGUCGGGCUGUUUGGGAAUGCAGCCCUAAGUGGGUGGUAAAUUCCAUCCAAGGCUAAAUACUGGCAAGAGACCGAUAGCGAACAAGUACCGCGAGGGAAAGAUGAAAAGGACUUUGAAAAGAGAGUUAAAAAGUGCUUGAAAUUGCUGGGAGGGAAGCGAAUGGAAGCUGCGGGUGUGCCCCGGUUGGAUGUGGAACGGUUCCUUUCCAAAGGACUGGUCCGCCGCUCAACGCGGGGCACUGGUCAGCGUGGGCCAUCGUGCCGGGACAAAAGCAGGGUCUAGCUCCCUGCCCAUGCCGUCGCGGUGGCCGAGGAACGAAGCGCGCGGGAGUUUCCAACUCCCGUGGGKYCUUACCCAACUGCGCGCUCGAGACGCUGGCGUAUUGAGCUCUUCAUCCGACCCGUCUUGAAACACGGACCAAGGAGUCUAACAUGUAUGCGAGCCGGUGGGCGGCAAACCCAUUGAGGCGCAAGGAAACUGACAGGUGGGACCCCCCCUAACCAAGGGGAGCACCAUCGACCGACCCUGAUCUUCUGUGAAAGGUUCGAGUGUGAGCAUACCUGUUGGGACCCGAAAGAUGGUGAACUAUGCCUGAGCAGGGCGAAGCCAGAGGAAACUCUGGUGGAGGCUCGUAGCGAUACUGACGUGCAAAUCGUUCGUCAGACUUGGGUAUAGGGGCGAAAGACUAAUCGAACCAUCUAGUAGCUGGUUCCCUCCGAAGUUUCCCUCAGGAUAGCUGGAGCUCACUCCGACGAAAGAGAGUUUUAUCAGGUAAAGCGAAUGAUUAGAGGCAUCGGGGGUGUAACACCCUCGACCUAUUCUCAAACUUUAAAUAGGUAAGCCGCCGGGGUUGCUUCGUUGAACCCCGGCACAGAAUCAGAGCUCCAAGUGGGCCAU